CUGCCUCUUGGGGGACAUCUCUCGUCCACCCCACCUCGCGGAGCUGAGCAAGUGAGCUGAAAAACCUAGGUCCACUGGAGGCCGUCAGCACUGGAGCAAGUUUUGUCCUCGGCUCUCUUCUCUGGCUCCCCCUGGAGCAAUCAUCAACUGCCAACAGCUUCUCAGCUAAAAUUGGGCCUGUUAACUUGCCAAGAAGGCUAGGCAGACUGGCCAGCGAAUCCCAGGGGUCCACCUGUCUCUGCCUCCAUGGCUGCUGAGAUAAUAAAGCAUGCCACCAAGCCCUGCUUUUUCUUUUUUUAAUUUUCUAGUCUCUGGGAGUUGAACCCAGGUCUUCACACUUGCAAGAUACCCAGAAAACCUGGUGAUUUAAAGGCACCCAGGCAGCGAAGGUCUGACCAGUUUCCAGACCAGUUCAGGCAAUGCACAAUAUUGUGUCUCUCAUAUUCCGAAGGAGCUCGCCAUGUGGCUUUGGGAGAGCAGCCUUUCUCCCUGCAUCUGGACCAACAGAACGACACAACUUCUGCUUCCAGGCCUCCUCCAGCCCAGCAGCCCUUUAGGUACCUGGUCCAUGCUUUCGAGCACAAAAUUUGAUCUUGUUGCUUGGAAGUUAGGUCACCUUUGCCUCCAUUCUGCCUGCCAGAGCCAAUGUGACUCAUGGGCAUCAUUGGGCCUUUCUUUUUAAAUAAAUAAU